GCGUGGGGGAGGGUAGAGCACGUUGCUGUGUGGGGGAGGUGAAGACAUUUUGGCAGCUUCACUCACUUCACUGUGCAGAGAGACUGAGUGACAGAACGAAUUCAGAUAAUGGAAAGACAGAAUCAAGAAAAUGAGAAGGUAUCAGAAAAAAGAGGCAGGAAGAGAUCAAGAGAGCAUCAUAGCCCUGGACAGGCAGAGAGAAGUGAAGAAGAUGACCAGAUAUACAGAUGUUCUCUUUCCUCUUCGAGAAUAUUCCAGAACCCAGAGAGAAAGACCUGAGUCAGAUGAGCCUUAUGAUUCCAACUCAGAUG